rnacentral:antisense_RNA from 1 species
UAGGCAUUCAAAGUGUGCUGGCAGAGCGCAGAACGGACACAAUCCUGCUUAUCAAAGCGGAUGAUGCCAAUCAUUUCAUCCUCAGCAAAGCGCUCCAGUGCGUCGCUGAGACCUGAUUUCACGCCACGCGGCAGGUCACAUUGGGUGAUAUCACCAUUAACGAUAACCGUGACAUUUUCACCGAGACGGGU